rnacentral:rRNA from 1 species
ACCCUAACCGUGCGAAGGUAGCAUAAUCACUUGUUCUUUAAAUGAGGACUAGUAUCAAUGGCAUCACGAGGAUCUUACUGUCUCCCCGCUCCAAUCAGUGAAACUGAUCUUCCCGUGAAGAAGCGGGAAUAUACCUAUAAGACGAGAAGACCCCAUGGAGCUUUAAAUCCAACAGCACCUAUUACCCAUACAUCUUUAUAUUUUUUUAGCAAAUGCUCGUUCGGUUUUAGGUUGGGGUGACCAUGGAGUAAAAAAUAACCUCCACGAAAAAAGGCAUAAAACCCUUAUCAAAGAGCCACAUCUCUAUGAAUUAGUAAACUAAUUUCUGAUGAUCCGAUAUUCGAUCAACGAACCAAGUUACCCUGGGGAUAACAGCGCAAUCCGCCUUAAGAGCCCCUAUCGACAG